AUUGAACGCUGGCGGCGUGCUUAACACAUGCAAGUCGAUCGGUAACAGGUGUAGCAAUACAUGCCGACGAGCGGCGGACGGGUGAGUAAUGCCUAGGAAUCUGCCUAGUAGUGGGGGAUAACUUGCCGAAAGGUAAGCUAAUACCGCAUACGUCCUACGGGAGAAAGGAGGGGACCUUCGGGCCUUUCGCUAUUAGAUGAGCCUAGGUCGGAUUAGUUAGUUGGUGAGGUAAUGGCUCACCAAGACCGCGAUCCGUAACUGGUCUGAGAGGAUGAUCAGUCACACUGGAACUGAGACACGGUCCAGACUCCUACGGGAGGCAGCAGUGGGGAAUAUUGGACAAUGGGGGGAACCCUGAUCCAGCCAUGCCGCGUGUGUGAAGAAGGUCUUAGGAUUGUAAAGCACUUUAAGUUGGGAGGAAGAGCAGUUAACUAAUAUUUGACUGUUUUGACGUUACCGACAGAAUAAGCACCGGCUAACUUCGUGCCAGCCGCCGCAGUAAAAC
rnacentral:rRNA from 1 species